CGCAAAGCUCAUUACAACAGCUAUAAUGUAUAUGAAUUUACUGAUAAAUGGAUAUCUGUGGUAAAUCUAGAGCUAAUACAUGCAUAAAAACCUUUUUGUUUUAACAAAUUGGUUAAAUUAUCGUUUCAAAACUAACGGGUUCGCCCUGUUUUGUUAACUCAUGAUAAUUAAUGACCGUUCUUUAAUGAAUGGAUAUUCAUAUUUGGUAUCUGCCCUAUCAACUAUAUGACAGUCUAUUGUACGGUCAUGGUUGUGCCGGGUAACGGAGAAUUAGGGUUCGUCUCCGGAGAGAAUGCCUUAGAAACGGCUUUCACUUCCAAGGAAGGCAGCAGGCGCGAAAAUUACCCAUUCUCAGAACGAGGAGGUAGUGACGUGAAAUGACAAGCUUUAAUUCUUACGAAUUGAAGCAUUGGAAUGGUUGAAUUUUAAAAUCAUUCAAGAUUAUCAAUGAGAGGGCAAGUCUGGUGCCAGCAGCCGCGGUAAUUCCAGCUCUCAUACUACAUUGAACUGCUGUUGCGGUUAAAAAGUUCGUAGUUGCAAAUGUACAUAUAAAUGUGGUUUAUCAUUUUAUUAUGGUAUAACUGCAUUUUGUGUUAUUUAUAUUUUCUUUACGGAAAAUAUAAUGAUACCCUGAGUAAAGCAAAGUGCUCAGAACAAGCUAUUGCUUGUAUGUUUUUGCUGGGAAUAUCAAACGAAUACAUUAGUUGACGUUUGUUGGUUUAACAGCUAUGUAAUGAUUAAUAGGGAUAAACGGGGGCAAACGUAUCGCAGGGGGAGAGGUGAAAUUCGUUGAUCCUUGCGAGACGGCCUAUAGCGAAAGCAUUUGCCAAGAAUGUUUUCUUUAAUCAAGAACGAAAGUCAGAGGUUCGAC
rnacentral:rRNA from 1 species